UACGUAGGGGGCAAGCGUUGUCCGGAUUUAUUGGGCGUAAAGAGCGUGUAGGCGGCCAGGUAGGUCCGUUGUGAAAACUCGAGGCUCAACCUCGAGACGCCGAUGGAAACCAUCUGGCUAGAGUCCGGAAGAGGAGAGUGGAAUUCCUGGUGUAGCGGUGAAAUGCGCAGAUAUCAGGAGGAACACCGGUGGCGAAGGCGGGUCUCUGGGCCGAUACUGACGCUGAGGAGCGAAAGCGUGGGGAGCGAACAGG
rnacentral:rRNA from 1 species